rnacentral:misc_RNA from 1 species
GAUGAAGAACGUAGCGAAAUGCGAUACUUGGUGUGAAUUGCAGAAUCCCGUGAACCAUCGAGUCUUUGAACGCAAGUUGCGCCCGAAGCCAUUAGGCCGAGGGCACGCCUGCCUGGGCGUCACACGUCGUUGCCCCCCCAUCUACUCCUUCGGGAUUGCGGGGGGCGGAUGAUGGCCUCCCGUGCGCCUCGCCGCGCGGUUGGCAUAAAUGCCAAGUCCUCGGCGACGCACGCCACGACAAUCGGUGGUUGCGAAACCUCGGUUGCCCGUCGUGUGCGGUCGUCGCGCAUCGAGGGCUCGAAAAAAUUGCCGGGUUCCGGCGCGGCUUUCAACGCGACCCCAGGUCAGGCGGGGUUACCCGCUGAAUUUAAGCAUAUCAAUAAGCGGAGGA